GACGAACGCUGGCGGCGUGCUUAACACAUGCAAGUCGAGCGGUAAGGCCCUUUCGGGGGUACACGAGCGGCGAACGGGUGAGUAACACGUGGGUGACCUGCCCUCAGCUCUGGGAUAAGCCUGGGAAACUGGGUCUAAUACCGGAUAUGACUCCAUGACGCAUGUUGUGGGGUGGAAAGCCUUGUGCGGCUGAGGAUGGGCCCGCGGCCUAUCAGCUUGUUGGUGGGGUGAGGCCUACCAAGGCGACGACGGGUAGCCGGCCUGAGAGGCGACCGGCCACACUGGGACUGAGACACGGGCCCAGACUCCUACGGGAGGCAGCAGUGGGGAAUCUUGCGCAAUGGGCGAAAGCCUGACGCAGCGACGCCGCGUGAGGGAUGACGGCCUGGUGUAACGU
rnacentral:rRNA from 1 species